AUUGAACGCUGGCGGCAGGCCUAACACAUGCAAGUCGAACGAGUGGCGGACGGGUGAGUAAUGUCUGGGACACUGCCUGAUGGAGGGGGAUAACUACUGGAAACGGUAGCUAAUCCCGCAUACCAUCGGAUGUGCCCAGAUGGGCUUAGCUAGUAGGUGGGGUAACGGCUCACCUAGGCGACGCUCCCUAGCUGGUCUGAGAGGAUGACCAGCGACACUGGAACUGAGACACUGUCCAGACGCCUACGGGAGGCAGCAGUGGGGAAUAUUGCACAAUGGGCGCAAGCCUGAUGCAGCCAUGCCGCGUGUAUGAAGAAGGCCUUCGGUUUGUAAAGUACUUUCAGCGGGGAGUCGUUACCCGCAGAAGAAGCACCGGCUAACGCCGUGCCAGCAGCGGCGGUAAUAC
rnacentral:rRNA from 1 species